AACGAACGCUGGCGGCGUGCCUAACACAUGCAAGUCGAGCGCGAAAAGGGCAACCUGAGUAGAGCGGCGCACGGGUGCGUAACACGUGGGUAAUCUGCCUUAGAGUCGAGGAUAACCUUCCGAAAGGUUGGCUAAUACUCGGUAAGCUUACGGUGUCUUCGGACGCUGUGGGAAAAGUAGGCCUCUGUUUACAAGCUUACGCUCUGAGAUGAGCCCGCGGCCCAUCAGCUAGUUGGCGGUGUAACGGACCACCAAGGCAACGACGGGUAGCUGGUCUGAGAGGACGAUCAGCCAGACUGGAACUGAGACACGGUCCAGACUCCUACGGGAGGCAGCAGUGGGGAAUUUUCCACAAUGGGCGAAAGCCUGAUGGAGCAACGCCGCGUGUGUGAUGAAGGUUUUCGGAUCGUAAAGCACUUUCGACUGGGACGAAAAACCUCUGGCUAACAUCCAGGGGCCUGACGGUACCGGGAGAAGAAGCACCGGCUAACUCUGUGCCAGCCGCCGCCGUAAAAC
rnacentral:rRNA from 1 species